rnacentral:rRNA from 1 species
AUGACGCGAGACUCUAGCGCGUGCGGCUUCCUUCCAGCAAAGUCUCCGCAGUGCCUUAUUAUUAACUCGGACAACCUGAAGGUGAUUGAUACCAUGAAGAACGGAGGACAGUCGGCGGGUGCGGUGGCGGCAAUUUUCGACGAUUGUUUUCAUUAUGCUUGUGACUUCAUUGCUACUAGAUUCGAACAUUGCAACAGGGAAGCAAAUAAAAUAGCUCAUAAGCUUGCGAGUUUAGCUAAAUUUUCGUUGAUUUCUGAUUGAUUUGAGGAACCUGUAAAUGAAAUUGUAAUGACCCUCACAAAUGAUGUACUCCAUCCGUAA